rnacentral:lncRNA from 1 species
AGCACGCAUGCUCUCGAGAGAUCCGUUUUCAGGCGUUGACCUCAGUCCUGAUCCAGUGGAGGGCCUCGGCGUUUGCACCAUCGUAGGCGUUGUGGUCCGCCUACCAGAAGUGGUCCAGAAUCAGCGCUACAACGUGAUUAUAUGGGCCUGUGUAUUUCUGCUUAUAUUGCCCUCUCACCUGUCAAUCAAAUUUCCUCCACACCUUCGGCAACCUGAAGCAAUCAGGGAGUGA